UCUGGUGAUUAUGGAACAGCUGCUACACCCGUUCCCAUUCCGAACACGAUGGUUAAACGCUGUAUCGCCGAGAGUACUGCCCGGGUGACUGGGUGGAAGGGUAGGAUGUUGCCAGGU
rnacentral:rRNA from 1 species